UUAUUCUCUCUCUUCUCCAAGUUUUUUGGAAGUUCCUCUCCAGCUCCGACUCCCUCCUUUCAGCGCCCGGGUCCUCGUAAAUAUUUCACCCUCUGCUCCUCCUCGGCUUUUCUGGGAUGCUUUCUCCGUCUUUUCUGGAUUUGCUAGAGCCAAAGGAGACAAGCUCCACCUACCGGUUAGCGGGGAUCGCACAGAGCGAAGACACGGAGAAGCGGAGAGAAGACGGUCUGAAUCCACGCCACGGUGCCUGGACGUUUACCCACAGCUGGCAAGGCUGGAAAUCUACCUACGACAACCACACGAUUUACAAUAAAGAGUUGGGGUUUUUUCUUCUUGACUGAAAAUGAGA